ACUGAACGCUGGCGGCAGGCUUAACACAUGCAAGUCGAGCGGAGUGAUGGUGCUUGCACUAUCACUUAGCGGCGGACGGGUGAGUAAUGCUUAGGAAUCUGCCUAUUAGUGGGGGACAACAUCUCGAAAGGGAUGCUAAUACCGCAUACGUCCUACGGGAGAAAGCAGGGGAUCACUUGUGACCUUGCGCUAAUAGAUGAGCCUAAGUCGGAUUAGCUAGUUGGUGGGGUAAAGGCCUACCAAGGCGACGAUCUGUAGCGGGUCUGAGAGGAUGAUCCGCCACACUGGGACUGAGACACGGCCCAGACUCCUACGGGAGGCAGCAGUGGGGAAUAUUGGACAAUGGGGGGAACCCUGAUCCAGCCAUGCCGCGUGUGUGAAGAAGGCCUUAUGGUUGUAAAGCACUUUAAGCGAGGAGGAGGCUUACCUAGUUAAUACCUGGGAUAAGUGGACGUUACUCGCAGAAUAAGCACCGGCUAACUCUGUGCCAGCCGCCGCGGUAA
rnacentral:rRNA from 1 species